rnacentral:lncRNA from 1 species
CAACCGCAUCUCGACUUAGUUUGCUGUGGGUGUGACCCUUGCUACAAUGUAUUCUUGACAAAGAAAUCUGAGCUGCAUGUUAUGGUCGGCUCAAGCCGCCAUUUCAAAGCAUAUUAUCCCAGAGGGUGAAUAUUUUUAUUUUAUAUAGAUGUUUCUAACCUCAAAAGUAUUAUAGAGUAGGCACGUUUGCAAGGGUUUUAUCUCUUUUAAAACGCUGCCCCCUCUGCACCCCAAGAUGGACGCUGAAACAGAGCAAGUCGAGGAGCAAACAGACAUCCCAGCAGCCCCCGCAGAGGAAACGCCACCUGAGACCAAAAACAGGCCAGGCAAACACCUAGACCGUGGGGUGAAAGGUCGUGGACGUGGCUGCCGGAUGGGCCGAGGGUGGCGCGGAGGUCGUGGCAUGAUGAAGGCGUUCGGACCCCCAGGGCGGGGCAGGGGUAGAGGGCACGAUGGGUUAAUGAAUGGGUUUGGGCCCAUGAGGUACACUACAGAGCACUUCCUCCUUUUUUUAUUAUAUGUGGUAUUCUUGCUUUCUUGUUUUGUACAGCACAGUGACAACCACAGCUUCUCACUUCUCUCACUGUUUUCACACGCUUUCGUCUGUCCCAAGAAGGGGCAUGGGAGGGAUGCGGCCGUACCCAGACCUCCGAGGCAGAGGCGGUGUGAGGGGAGGCCCAAGAGGCAUGGGUCCCCCACCUCCUCCUCCCCCACCCCUGCACCUGAGACCUUACCCUCCUAUGCACAGGUACAGUUGGGGAAUUUAUCCAGGAUGCUGCUAAGCUCAGGCAAAAAAUACUAG